ACCAUCCUUUCUUGGGAUUGCACUGCUGUCCAAUGACCACAUAGCGAGGGCCACACUGCUAAUACCCACACAACACAUCCACCCAACUAGAGCUUUGCUUUACAUUGGUGCAAUUUUUGGAAAA